CGAACGCUGGCGGCGUGCCUAAUACAUGCAAGUAGAACGCUGAAGAGAGGAGCUUGCUCUUCUUGGAUGAGUUGCGAACGGGUGAGUAACGCGUAGGUAACCUGCCUUGUAGCGGGGGAUAACUGUUGGAAACGAUAGCUAAUACCGCAUAACAAUGGAUGACACAUGUCAUUUAUUUGAAAGGGGCAAUUGUUCCACUACAAGAUGGACCUGCGUUGUAUUAGCUAGUAGGUGAGGUAAUGGCUCACCUAGGCGACGAUACAUAGCCGACCUGAGAGGGUGAUCGGCCACACUGGGACUGAGACACGGCCCAGACUCCUACGGGAGGCAGCAGUAGGGAAUCUUCGGCAAUGGGGGCAACCCUGACCGAGCAACGCCGCGUGAGUGAAGAAGGUUUUCGGAUCGUAAAGCUCUGUUGUAAGUCAAGAACGGGUGUGAGAGUGGAAAGUUCACACUGUGACGGUAGCUUACCAGAAAGGGACGGCUAACUACGUGCCAGCAGCCGCGGUAAUACGUAGGUCCCGAGCGUUGUCCGGAUUUAUUGGGCGUAAAGCGAGCGCAGGCGGUUUGAUAAGUCUGAAGUUAAAGGCUGUGGCUCAACCAUAGUUCGCUUUGGAAACUGUCAAACUUGAGUGCAGAAGGGGAGAGUGGAAUUCCAUGUGUAGCGGUGAAAUGCGUAGAUAUAUGGAGGAACACCGGUGGCGAAAGCGGCUCUCUGGUCUGUAACUGACGCUGAGGCUCGAAAGCGUGGGGAGCGAACAGGAUUAGAUACCCUGGUAGUCCACGCCGUAAACGAUGAGUGCUAGGUGUUGGAUCCUUUCCGGGAUUCAGUGCCGCAGCUAACGCAUUAAGCACUCCGCCUGGGGAGUACGACCGCAAGGUUGAAACUCAAAGGAAUUGACGGGGGCCCGCACAAGCGGUGGAGCAUGUGGUUUAAUUCGAAGCAACGCGAAGAACCUUACCAGGUCUUGACAUCCCGAUGCUAUUUCUAGAGAUAGAAAGUUACUUCGGUACAUCGGUGACAGGUGGUGCAUGGUUGUCGUCAGCUCGUGUCGUGAGAUGUUGGGUUAAGUCCCGCAACGAGCGCAACCCCUAUUGUUAGUUGCCAUCAUUCAGUUGGGCACUCUAGCGAGACUGCCGGUAAUAAACCGGAGGAAGGUGGGGAUGACGUCAAAUCAUCAUGCCCCUUAUGACCUGGGCUACACACGUGCUACAAUGGUUGGUACAACGAGUUGCGAGUCGGUGACGGCGAGCUAAUCUCUUAAAGCCAAUCUCAGUUCGGAUUGUAGGCUGCAACUCGCCUACAUGAAGUCGGAAUCGCUAGUAAUCGCGGAUCAGCACGCCGCGGUGAAUACGUUCCCGGGCCUUGUACACACCGCCCGUCACACCACGAGAGUUUGUAACACCCGAAGUCGGUGAGGUAACCUUUUGGAGCCAGCCGCCUAAGGUGGGACAGAUGAUUGGGGUGAAG
rnacentral:rRNA from 1 species